UUGGAGAACAGUUGAGGAAAAGAAAACAACAUUUCCAAGUACACAUACCGAUGCAUUAGAAACAUUGAAGUAUGAAAACAAGGUGUACCCAAUGAAGAGUGCUAACCGAGGAAAAUUUAUUCUCAUAUCAAACGUUCAAGUGAAACCACUAUGUACAAAAACCCAGAACGAGGAAAAGAAGGCACAAAGAUAUGCAGAUUAUCUUCGGAAUUCAGACUUUGAUCUGGUCAAUGUAUUUCAACUUUUUAAAUUGAUGGGAUAUGAUACAACAGACGGUAAACAUUUUGGGAAAACAAAAGAGGAAAUCAAGGAGAUAUUGAAACAAAAAUUAAAUGAUAUAGACAAGGAUUCGUCUUCUAAGUAUGAUAGCCUUAUUGUAGUUUUCUUGUCAAGUAAAAUUGACCCUCAGGCAACAAUGAUUUAUGACAUAGAUGGAGAAGUUGUUCCAAAUGAUGAAAUUUUAGAAAUCAUAAAAAGCUGUCAAGGUUUUGAAGGGAAAUCGAAAAUUAUUAUUGUCCAUACUUACAAUUCUAACGGUAUGUUCGUUGUUAUACUCCAUUUAUUCAUACACAUAUCUAGUAAUUAACAAAAAGUAAAAUCACAAAAAUACUGAACUCCUAGGAAAAUUCAAAAAGGAAAGUCCCCAAUCAAAUGGCAAAAUCAAGGUUCAAACACAUCAAACGAAUGGAUAACAACUGUCAUAUUCCUGACUUGGUACAGGCAUUUUCUUAAGUAGAAAAUGGUGGAUUGAACCUGGUUUUAUAGCUAGCUAAACCUCUCACUUGUAUGACAGUCGAUGACAAAUGUCGAUGUGGAUUCAUCCAAAAAAAACCAAUGAUGUUUUUGGAAUUUAUUUACG